AUUGAACGCUGGCGGAAUGCUUUACACAUGCAAGUCGAACGGCAGCACGGACUUCGGUCUGGUGGCGAGUGGCGAACGGGUGAGUAAUAUAUCGGAACGUAUCCAAUAAUGGGGGAUAACUAAUCGAAAGGUUGGCUAAUACCGCAUACGUCCUACGGGAGAAAGCUAGGGACCUUCGGGCCUGGCGUUAAUGGAGCGGCCGAUAUCUGAUUAGCUAGUUGGUGAGGUAAAGGCUCACCAAGGCGACGAUCAGUAGCUGGUCUGAGAGGAAGACCAGCCAAACUGGAACUAAGAUCCGGUCCAGACUCCUACGGGAGGCAGCAGUGGGGAAUUUUGGACAAUGGGCGAAAGCCUGAUCCAGCCAUUCCGCGUGAGUGAAGAAGGCCUUCGGGUUGUAAAGCUCUUUCGCAAGGGAAGAAAACUUAUCCUCUAACAUAGGAUGAGGUUGACGGUACCUUGAUAAGAAGCACCGGCUAACUACGUGCCAGCCGCCGCCGUAACAC
rnacentral:rRNA from 1 species